AUGAACGCUAGCUACAGGCUUAACACCUGCAAGUCGAGGGGAAACGGCAUCGAAAGCUUGCUUUUGAUGGGCGUCGACCGGCGCACGGGUGAGUAACGCGUAUCCAACCUGCCCAUCACUUGGGAAUAACCUUGCGAAAGUAAGACUAAUGCCCAAUGACAUCCCACGAAGGCAUCCGAAUGGGAUUAAAGAUUUAUCGGUGAUGGAUGGGGAUGCGUCUGAUUAGCUUGUUGGCGGGGUGACGGCCCACCAAGGCAACGAUCAGUAGGGGUUCUGAGAGGAAGGUCCCCCACAUUGGAACUGAGACACGGUCCAAACUCCUACGGGAGGCAGCAGUGAGGAAUAUUGGUCAAUGGGCGAGAGCCUGAACCAGCCAAGUAGCGUGCAGGAGGACGGCCCUAUGGGUUGUAAACUGCUUUUAUAAGGGAAUAAAGUGGGUCACGUGUGACUUUUUGCAUGUACCUUAUGAAUAAGGACCGGCUAAUUCCGUG
rnacentral:rRNA from 1 species